GUCAGAUAGCUCAGUCAGCAGAGCAUAAGACUUUUAAUCUCAGGGUCAUGGGUUUGAGCCCCACAUUGUACA